ACCAUUGUUUUUAUUUCUUCCAGGUCUCACAGGGAGCAGGAACUCCUGGGGCUGCUUUGGGUGCAGGGCUGGAGCUGCUGGGCAGAAGCCUUGCAGGGUCCCUGGGCUGUUGCAUAAUCCAGGCACAGAGCUGCUUUCUUCCCUGGGUGGAUGUCAAGUGAGCCAUUGUUUCAGGGAUUAGCACAAGUGUCAGCACAUUGAAGGCACCAAAACAUACACUAAAAACUUGUGACAUUUGUGCCUGUGAUAAUUAAAUUAAAUUGUGGUGUGAGUUCUGCUGGUAAAUUUACUUGACUUUCCUGGAAUUAGCCUGGUUGGAUCCAAGACAUUUCUCAGGGAGUGAAAGAUUUGCAAAGUCUCACUCUGAGGAUCCUGAAAUGUUUUGCAUUUUCUUCUCUUCCUUAUUCCCUUCUCUUUGGGCAGCAAAGAAAAAUUCAAGUUUUAAGGUGCUUUGAUUUGUCAGAGUGGAUUAAGUCGAGAUAUUUACAAUCUCACUUGAGAUGUUUACAGUGAGCUGCUCAUUUAAGCCUUGCUAAUGAAGGGAGUCCUGGAGCAUGUGAGCUGACCCAAAUGCCUGGCUUGGGGCACAGUUAAUCCUCUAAGAGCAGUGCUGCUCAGGCUGAGAGUGCAGGUGCUGCUCAGCCCAGGUGUGCAGGUGCUGCUCAGCCCAGGGGUGCAGGUGCUGCUCAGCCCAGGUGUGCAGGUGCUGCUCAGCCCAGGUGUGCAGGUGCUGCUCAGCCCAGGUGUGCAGGUGCUGCUCAGCCCAGGGGUGCAGGUGCUGCUCAGCCCAGGUGCUGCUCAGCCCAGGUGUGCAGGUGCUGCUCAGGCUGAGAGUGCAGGUGCUGCUCAGCCCAGGUGUGCAGGUGCUGCUCAGCCCAGGGGUGCAGGUGCUGCUCAGCCCAGGUGUGCAGGUGCUGCUCAGCCCAGGUGUGCAGGUGCUGCUCAGCCCAGGUGUGCAGGUGCUGCUCAGCCCAGGUGUGCAGGUGCUGCUCAGCCCAGGUGUGCAGGUGCUGCUCAGCCCAGGUGUGCAGGUGCUGCUCAGCCCAGGUGUGCAGGUGCUGCUCAGCCCAGGUGUGCAGGUGCUGCUCAGCCCAGGUGUGCAGGUGCUGCUCAGGCUGAGAGUGCAGGUGCUGCUCAGCCCAGGUGUGCAGGUGCUGCUCAGGCUGAGAGUGCAGGUGCUGCUCAGCCCAGGUGUGCAGGUGCUGCUCAGCCCAGGUGUGCAGGUGCUGCUCUGCUGAGAGCCCUUUGUGCAGAGCUGCAGCGAGGGCUGGGGCUCCUCUUGCUGCCCCACUGCAGACCACUCUGUCUGAGCUUCUGUUCCC